rnacentral:rRNA from 1 species
GAUGAACGCUGGCGGCGUGCCUAAUACAUGCAAGUCGAGCGAACAGACGAGGAGCUUGCUCCUCUGACGUUAACGGCGGACGGGAGAGUAACACGUGGAUAACCUACCUAUAAGACUGGGAUAACUUCCGGAAACCGGAGCUAAUACCGGAUAAUAUAUUGAACCGCAUGGUUCAAUAGUUAAAGACGGUUUUGCUGUCACUUAUAGAUGGAUCCGCGCCGCAUUAGCUAGUUGGUAAGGUAACGGCUUACCAAGGCAACGAUGCGUAGCCGACCUGAGAGGGUGAUCGGGCACACUGGAACUGAGACACGGACCAGACUCCUACGGGAGGCAGCAGUAGGGAAUGUUCCGGAAGGGGCGAAAGCCGGACAGAGCAACGACGCGUGAGUGAUGAAGGUCUUGGGAUGGUAAAACGCUGUUAUUAGGGAAGAACAAAUGUGUAAGUAACUAUGCACGUCGUGACGGUAGCAAAUCAGAAAGCCACGGCUAACUACGUG